rnacentral:rRNA from 1 species
CCUACGGGGGGCAGCAGUGGGGAAUAUUGGACAAUGGGGGCAACCCUGAUCCAGCCAUGCCGCGUGUGUGAAGAAGGCCCUCGGGUUGUAAAGCACUUUCAGUGAGGAAGAACGCCUGGUGGUUAAUACCCAUCAGGAAAGACAUCACUCACAGAAGAAGCACCGGCUAACUCCGUGCCAGCAGCCGCGGUAAUACGGAGGGUGCGAGCGUUAAUCGGAAUUACUGGGCGUAAAGCGCGCGUAGGUGGCUUGAUAAGCUGGUUGUGAAAGCCCCGGGCUCAACCUGGGAACGGCAUCCGGAACUGUCAAGCUAGAGUGCAGGAGAGGAAGGUAGAAUUCCCGGUGUAGCGGUGAAAUGCGUAGAGAUCGGGAGGAAUACCAGUGGCGAAGGCGGCCUUCUGGACUGACACUGACACUGAGGUGCGAAAGCGUGGGUAGCAAACAGGAGUAGAUACCCGGGUAGUC